rnacentral:rRNA from 1 species
GGUGCUUGCACCUUUUGGUUAGCGGCGGACGGGUGAGUAACACGUGGGCAACCUGCCUGUAAGACUGGGAUAACUUCGGGAAACCGGAGCUAAUACCGGAUAAUCCUUUUCCUCUCAUGAGGAAAAGCUGAAAGUCGGUUUCGGCUGACACUUACAGAUGGGCCCGCGGCGCAUUAGCUAGUUGGUGAGGUAACGGCUCACCAAGGCGACGAUGCGUAGCCGACCUGAGAGGGUGAUCGGCCACACUGGGACUGAGACACGGCCCAGACUCCUACGGGAGGCAGCAGUAGGGAAUCUUCCGCAAUGGACGAAAGUCUGACGGAGCAACGCCGCGUGAGCGAUGAAGGCCUUCGGGUCGUAAAGCUCUGUUGUUAGGGAAGAACAAGUACCGGAGUAACUGCCGGUACCUUGACGGUACCUAACCAGAAAGCCACGGCUAACUACGUGCCAGCAGCCGCGGUAAUACGUAGGUGGCAAGCGUUGUCCGGAAUUAUUGGGCGUAAAGCGCGCGCAGGCGGUCCUUUAAGUCUGAUGUGAAAGCCCACGGCUCAACCGUGGAGGGUCAUUGGAAACUGGGGGACUUGAGUACAGAAGAGGAAAGCGGAAUUCCACGUGUAGCGGUGAAAUGCGUAGAGAUGUGGAGGAACACCAGUGGCG